AUACGGAGGAUCCGAGCGUUAUCCGGAUUUAUUGGGUUUAAAGGGAGCGUAGGCGGACUAUUAAGUCAGCUGUGAAAGUUUGCGGCUCAACCGUAAAAUUGCAGUUGAUACUGGUCGUCUUGAGUGCAGUAGAGGUAGGCGGAAUUCGUGGUGUAGCGGUGAAAUGCUUAGAUAUCACGAAGAACUCCGAUUGCGAAGGCAGCUUACUGGACUGUAACUGACGCUGAUGCUCGAAAGUGUGGGUAUCAAACAGGAUUAGAUACCCUGGUAGUCCACACAGUAAACGAUGAAUACUCGCUGUUUGCGAUAUACGGCAAGCGGCCAAGCGAAAGCGUUAAGUGAUCCACCUGGGGAGUACGCCGGCAACGGUGAAACUCAAAUGAAUUGGCGGGG
rnacentral:rRNA from 1 species